GAUGAACGCUGGCGGCGUGCCUAAUACAUGCAAGUCGAGCGAACGGACGAGAAGCUUGCUUCUCUGAUGUUAGCGGCGGACGGGUGAGUAACACGUGGAUAACCUACCUAUAAGACUGGGAUAACUUCGGGAAACCGGAGCUAAUACCGGAUAAUAUUUUGAACCGCAUGGUUCAAAAGUGAAAGACGGUCUUGCUGUCACUUAUAGAUGGAUCCGCGCUGCAUUAGCUAGUUGGUAAGGUAACGGCUUACCAAGGCAACGAUGCAUAGCCGACCUGAGAGGGUGAUCGGCCACACUGGAACUGAGACACGGUCCAGACUCCUACGGGAGGCAGCAGUAGGGAAUCUUCCGCAAUGGGCGAAAGCCUGACGGAGCAACGCCGCGUGAGUGAUGAGGGUCUUCGGAUCGUAAAACUCUGUUAUUAGGGAAGAACAUAUGUGUAAGUAACUGUGCACAUCUUGACGGUACCUAAUCAGAAAGCCACGGCUAACUACGUGCCAGCAGCCGCGGUAAUACGUAGGUGGCAAGCGUUAUCCGGAAUUAUUGGGCGUAAAGCGCGCGUAGGCGGUUUUUUAAGUCUGAUGUGAAAGCCCACGGCUCAACCGUGGAGGGUCAUUGGAAACUGGAAAACUUGAGUGCAGAAGAGGAAAGUGGAAUUCCAUGUGUAGCGGUGAAAUGCGCAGAGAUAUGGAGGAACACCAGUGGCGAAGGCGACUUUCUGGUCUGUAACUGACGCUGAUGUGCGAAAGCGUGGGGAUCAAACAGGAUUAGAUACCCUGGUAGUCCACGCCGUAAACGAUGAGUGCUAAGUGUUAGGGGGUUUCCGCCCCUUAGUGCUGCAGCUAACGCAUUAAGCACUCCGCCUGGGGAGUACGACCGCAAGGUUGAAACUCAAAGGAAUUGACGGGGACCCGCACAAGCGGUGGAGCAUGUGGUUUAAUUCGAAGCAACGCGAAGAACCUUACCAAAUCUUGACAUCCUUUGACAACUCUAGAGAUAGAGCUUUCCCCUUCGGGGGACAAAGUGACAGGUGGUGCAUGGUUGUCGUCAGCUCGUGUCGUGAGAUGUUGGGUUAAGUCCCGCAACGAGCGCAACCCUUAAGCUUAGUUGCCAUCAUUAAGUUGGGCACUCUAAGUUGACUGCCGGUGACAAACCGGAGGAAGGUGGGGAUGACGUCAAAUCAUCAUGCCCCUUAUGAUUUGGGCUACACACGUGCUACAAUGGACAAUACAAAGGGCAGCGAAACCGCGAGGUCAAGCAAAUCCCAUAAAGUUGUUCUCAGUUCGGAUUGUAGUCUGCAACUCGACUACAUGAAGCUGGAAUCGCUAGUAAUCGUAGAUCAGCAUGCUACGGUGAAUACGUUCCCGGGUCU
rnacentral:rRNA from 1 species